ACCAAUUAUAACGAAGAGAUAAAGGGUGUCGAUUUCCGAUUGGAGAAACAGAUUUAGCAAUGCAAGAUGGCUGAAAUUGGAGAGCUCCAGAAACUAAAGCUUGCAGAGCUGAAGCAUGAGUGUGAAGCCAGGGGUCUGGAUGUGAAGGGCAACAAAGUGGAACUGAUCACACGACUACAGGCUCAUCUAGAGGAGCAUGAGGAUGACAUAGGCCUAAAUGAAGAUGAUGUUCUGGGAGACGAGCCAAAGUACCUCUCGAAAGAUGUGGAUGCCAUCACUGGGGAUAACGACGAGAAACCACUAGCGGUGUCUGAGACGGCUGAAAAGAAAGUGGUAAAAAUCACACCUCCAGUGUCUGUGGAUGAGAGGUUACAGAAAAGAGCAGACCGCUUCAAUGUCCCUGCCUCGGCUGACAGCAAGAAGGCCAUACGUGCUGCCCGGUUUGGUUUGUCCGCUGCUGCACCUCCAACUUCCACCACAGGUGUUACUGUGAAUAAAUCCACUGCAACCAGUCAGCGUUGAACAGCUAAAAAAGCGAGCUGAACGAUUUGGCGGGAACGUUUCUUCAGUCUCCAAGAAGGUUGAGGAAGAUGAGAAGCUGAAGAAGCGGAAAGAAAGAUUUGGGAUACUCACUGGUGCUGUCGCAACUGACGUUGAGGCAAAGAAACAGAAGCGUUCUGAACGAUUUGGAAAUGUGACAGUGUAAAUUGGUAUUUUUAAGUGACGUUUUAUGCUUUUAUUUUUAUUUUGUUGCAAACAUAACUGAAAUGUACUGUAUAUAGCUUGUCAACAGUUGUAUUACAUUUGGUCAUUAAAGUAGUUUUCAAUUA